rfam:Glossina brevipalpis unplaced genomic scaffold Scaffold19, whole genome shotgun sequence.
GGGGUAGGUUUAGUACGUAGGCGUCAUAGAUGGCGAAUCGUGCAUGCUACUGGCGCGGCUAGUAGUAUCUAUGAAGAUUUUCAACUCC